rnacentral:rRNA from 1 species
UACAGAGGGUGCGAGCGUUAAUCGGAAUUACUGGGCGUAAAGCGCGCGUAGGCGGUUUUGUAAGUCGGGUGUGAAAGCCCCAGGCUCAACCUGGGAACUGCACUCGAGACUGCAUGACUAGAGUAUGGGAGAGGGCAGUGGAAUUUCCGGUGUAGCGGUGAAAUGCGUAGAUAUCGGAAGGAACAUCAGUGGCGAAAGCGACUGCCUGGACCAAUACUGACGCUCAUGUGCGAAAGCGUGGGGAGCAAACAGG